CCUACGGGAGGCUGCAGUGAGGAAUAUUGGUCAAUGGGCGCGAGCCUGAACCAGCCAAGUCGCGUGAAGGAUGACGGCUCUACGGGUUGUAAACUUCUUUUGUACGGGAAUAAAGUGCGGCACGUGUGUCGUUUUGUAUGUAUCUUACGAAUAAGGAUCGGCUAACUCCGUGCCAGCAGCCGCGGUAAUACGGAGGAUCCGAGCGUUAUCCGGAUUUAUUGGGUUUAAAGGGUGCGUAGGGGGGUUGUUAAGUUAGUGGUGAAAGUUUGCGGCUCAACCCCAAAAUUGCAAUUGAUACUGGCAGCCUUGAGUACAGGUGAGGUAGGCGGAAUUCGUGGUGUAGCGGUGAAAUGCUUAGAUAUCACGAAGAACUCCGAUUGCGAAGGCAGCAUACUAAACUGCCACUGACAUUGAUGGACGAAAGUGUGGGUAUCAAACAGGAUUAGAUACCCUGGUAGUC
rnacentral:rRNA from 1 species